AGCCGCCUUACCCCAUUCCCCUUCGCGCCGCCGCCUCUACACCAGAGUAGAAGAGGGAGGGGAAAACGACGAGGAGGAGAAGGGGCUCCACCAGGGGCACCGCCAGCAGCGCAGCCAUGGCGAAGCAGGGGGCGAAGAAGAUGAAGGACGGGAACAGGAAGCGGCUGGAUUUGCUUCUGCGCAUCAUCCUCAUAUCUAACGCUAUUUACAUAGUGGUGAGGAUGGCUAUAAUGCAUUCAUCCUUCACCUGGAAGCAUUGGAUUGGACUUAUGUUAACAUCUGCUGCAUAUUUUCUUCCAUACAAGCAACUUGUCAGUAUGGCCAAGCCAGUUUACUCUGAUAAUGGAGAACUACUGGACGGUGGCUUCGACUUGAGCACUGGUGGGAUUUGCGAGUAUCUGUAUGAUGUGAUCUAUAUCACUGUCUUCGUGCAGCUGAUGUCCAUUAUUUCUGAGAAAUUUUGGUGGACAUAUUUAGUGAUUCCAGCUUUUGCUGGAUACAAGAUUUCCGGUCUGUUGAGAGGAGCAUUUUCCAGCGGUGGUUCAGAGGGUGAUGUUGAAGAUGAGAAGACCCGAAAGAGAAGGGAGAAAAUGGAGAAGAAGGCAUCUAGGGGAAAGAUGAUCAAAACUAGGACUCGUUGAUAUACCAGCUAGGGCGCCUGUUGCUGGAAUGUUAGAUGGUUUAUCAUAGCUGCCCAACCAAAAUCCAAGCUGUUCGGCGAGUAUUAUCAUGAUGAGGAUGUUCAACAACCGGUUGCUCCAAACAGCUAUAGCGUUAUGUAGCACAAAUGUUAGCUAAUCUCCGACUUGUUCAAUCAAUAAGAAUUUUCUGUCUGACUUCUGACCCUUUUUGGCCCAUAUUUCAUACAUCAACAUUGGGGCAUGGCAUUAAAAAAAAUCGCACAAAGCACGAUAAGAUGCUGCAUCGAAUAGUUUUGAUUAUCUUUCAUUCACUCAAUCUAUCUCUACAUGUCUGCUGUGGAAACCAAUAGAAUUUUGAUUUACUUUGAUUCCUGCCAUAGUAUAUUUGGUUCUACUACCUGUUUGAUUUUAGUCUGACUGCUCAAGAGAAUGGCGCAGGAGAAUCUAGAGACAAAAUAGUUACAACCAUACUCUAGGGAGAGGUGUGUUGUGGCUCAGUCUGUUGUCACCAACAGUAAACAUGAGGGGGAGAGCUGUCGUGGGGGUUGGUGUGGACAUGCCACCAUGCUAUCACCAGCAGCGGCAAUGUUUAUUGUAGUGAAUAUACUAUUGUGAGCUUAUCUGAGGCAACUUACACUGAUUGUUCCUUGUGAAGUGAUGGAAAGUUGAUUGCCCUUGGUAAAAUCCUCCAUGUCAACAUGCUUUAGCAUGAGAUCCUUAGUAUUUUUUUUUUUUGUUCAUGAAGAACAUAAGCUCUUGAAGCACUUGUUUCCGUUGUUCAUGAGAAAAUUGAAGAUGAGAGACUUUGCUGAGACUAUGCAGUAUGCAUACUUUUUUUUGCAUCAUUUAUCCUUAACGAUUGAUGUGCGGUAUUGCAUAACUUUUGCGGUAUUGAUGUGUGAUUUACCUGUUUGUAGUUGUUGAAUUUUGACUGGAGAUGUUUAAAACUUUUCUUAGUAUGCAUGAUAUACUUGUGUGCCAUACAGAUGUCAAACAUAAUGUUAACUUCAAGCACUUGAAGGUUAUAUGACCAUAUGCAUCUUGUUUUUAUUGAAUUUCCAGUUUGCUGGGAGGUUUCACAUGACAUGAUUAUUACUUGGCUUAAGUUAUUCUUGAAUGGCGCCUUUCAUGGAUUUACGGGCUUUCAUCUUGCGUGCACGUGUCUUAAAGCUUUAUAGUCAGGCACUGCGAAUUAUUCGUCGAGCCCCUGAACAUGCCCAAGAUGAGUUGAGGCAGACCACAAGGGCCGAGUUUGGGAAAUAUCGCCAUUGUGAUGAUACUCAAAAGAUUAGGUUUUUGAUUAGUGAAGGGAAGCAGAGACUAAAAGGUCUUGAUGAACUGCUUGACAUGACAGGGCACAGCUAAUCUGGGUUGCAUCCUGGACCUUGCUACUUAUUCAGCUCAUUCCGAAAUUCAUGCAAUCUAAAUUGUUUGAACUGAUCACUUUAAUAAGGAACAGCACUAUAUUUGAUGAAUUUUUGGGCAAUUUUCUGUAAGAAAAUUGUUAGGGGAUGCAGAACAUAGUUGUAUUGAGUGGAUAGUUAAUUGAUGAUUCACACUUCUUCACAAA